rnacentral:rRNA from 1 species
AUUGAACGCUGGCGGCAGGCCUAACACAUGCAAGUCGAACGAGUGGCGGACGGGUGAUUAAUGUCUGGGAAACUGCCUGAUGGAGGGGGAUAACUACUGGAAACGGUAGCUAAUACCGCAUACCAUCGGAUGUGCCCAUAUGGGAUUAGCUAGUAGGGGGGGUAAAGGCUCACCUAGGCGACGAUCCCUCGCUGGUCUGAGAGGAUGACCAGAGCCAUUGGAACUGGGAGACGGUCCAGACUCCUACGGGAGGAAGCAGUGGGGAAUAGUGCAAAAUGGGCGCAAGCCUGAUGCAGCCAUGCCGGGUGUAUGAAGAAGGCCUUCGGAUUGUAAAGUACUGUCAGCGGGGAGGCGUUAACCGCAGAAGAAGCACCGGCUAACUCCGUGCCAGCAGCCACGGUAAUAA